rnacentral:lncRNA from 1 species
UGUCAUCAAGUUCACAGGCUUUCGGAGCUGGAAAGACCUUAGAGAGAAGUAUCACUCAACUUUCUCAGUGUGAGAUGAGAACACAGAGACACCAUAAGGUAAAGGACUUGUUCUAAGUGAAACAACAAGCUGAGACCACAGCAGAAAUCAGAGAGAACUCAGUUUAGUUUGAUCUUGCUUCCCUGGUAGGGAUGGCCCUCUUGCCAUGGACAAGAAUCCCUGAGAUCCUGCCAUCCACUGGAUUUCAGGCCAUGAUGUUAGGCUCUUUAUUUCUUCAGAAAGGGUUUCAAAGUAGGACCAGGGAUUUAGCUCAGUGGUUUUACCACCUGCUGCGCAAGCACAAGGACCCGAGUUUGAUCCCCGGUACCCCCCCCACAAAAAGAAGUACUAUUAUGAUUUGUACUCUCUAAUGCUAUAGACAUGGCAAUCAAUGCAUUUUCAGAAAGACAAAACAGAAACUCUCAUUAAAUAAGCACAAUGUAAAUUGAUUCCCCUUAAAAAAGAAAAGGAAAAUAAAGAGCUAAUAUAUUUGAAGAGAAUAGCGAUAUUUCAGAACUAGCAAGAUCUAGAAAUUUCAACCUGCUGCAAAUGGAAGGGGAACCUGUAGCUAGAGAACAACAUUACAGUUACACAGGCCUACUGGGGUAUUUCUGGAACAUUUACUGCCAUGCCACUCCCUUGUAACAGCAGUACCAGAACAGCACAAGCUCAACACACAGGUUUCUCCAAAACCAAGGUUCUUGCUAAAUCAAAUAUAAAGACCAAUUUUACUUUCUUAAAAUACCAACCAACUUUAAAGUUUAUUGUUUUAGGGCCAGGAAUUUAGCUCAGUGGUUCCACCACCUGCUUUGCACACGCAAGGACCCAAGUUCAAUCCCCGGUACCAAAAAUAAAUAAAUAAAUAAAGUUUAUUGCUUUAGAGAUUAGCAUCUAAUUUUUAAAACAUGAACACAAAAUAGCCCUCCCCCUGAGAGCUGAGGGUUUGGACAUAAAGAACCAUUCUAAGGUAUAAAAUGCAGCUGUAUUAGUGAGAGAUAUUUACAUAUUUUAACUUCAUUGAUCAUUUUUCUCCUCUCCUUCAAGUACUUAAGACACUAGAAUGGAAAAAAACCCAAAAAAUAAAAAACACAACAACCUUCAGGGAAACCCAGUCUACUGAGUAAUUUCUCAUUCAAUCCUCACAACAGUUGAGUAUUAUGUACUCUGACUUACAGAUGAGAAAAUGAAAACUGAAAGGGAAAUUUACUCAAGGUCACAAGUGUUGCUGAGGAUUGAAUCCAAGGUCCACAGAGCUCCACCCCCAGCCCCACAACUUAUUAUCUUAUGUGAUGAUAUGGGAAACAGGCAUAAUGCACCUCCACCACAUACCAAAAUACCAUGGCUUUGGCUGAAAAAAAAAGUACCUGAAUGAUUAUUUGAGCUGAAAUAUAACUAGCCACUUUUUACUUUGUUCUUUUUUUUAAAUUUAAGACUAUUUCACCCUAAAAGAAUGACUGGUAAUUUCAAACUUGAAUAUGUGGCAGAUAUUUUCUCAAAAAUAAAGUAAGUGAGACUAUCAUUUCAAGAAAAACUGUAUUUGUUGCCCAUGAUAAAAAAAAAUUGAGAUUUCAAGGAAAAAUGAUUAUUUUGGAAGUUCUCAUUUACCGUGAGACUUUGAUGAGAUCAACUGUGAAACUGACAAAUUGGAUAUUAUAUAAGGUCCUAUAUCAAUAUUUAGAAGACUCACAUAACUGAAUAAGCCAAAUUUUCCAAAUGACCAAUAUAGGAUCCUACAAAUCAUGCCUGGGAAAACGAUAACUCUCUUCACAGGUUUAAAGUAUAUAAUGGACCAAUGGAUUCUUAGUGUUAAUACAGAAAAACGUCAUUGAUUCUGUUUCUGAUUUCACACUGCAUCUCUUUUAAGAAACUACCACUUGUCAAGUUUCACUGUAGUAUCAAAGAAUAACCUGAAUUAUCUGAAAGAGUAUUAAAAUACUUCUCCCUUUUAAAAAAAUAUCUGUGGGGGCCCAGGAUUUAGCUCAGUGGCACCACACCUGUCUCGCAAGCACAAGGUCCUGAGUUCGAUCCCUGGUACUAAAAAAAAAAAAUGUCUGUGAGAGGCUGAAUUUUCUGUAUAUACUUUAAUCACAAUAGAUUACAUGCAGAAAUACUUAUGUGAAUCCUAUUGCCUUUUUUUUUUCCUGUUGCCUUUUUUAUGCCAAACAUUAUUAUAGAGAUAUUUCAAAAACUCUUCUCAGUAAGUAUUUUGUUGCGGGAAAUACAGUAAUUUUUCAUGAAAAUGCGACUUUUAUGUUAACAUGUAAUGGAUUUAAUAUUUUAAAUUUAUGUUUAAAUUAAUUUACUCAUAAUUUUUCUCAUUUUAAUUUUGAGUACAAUAAGUAUUGAUAGAUAUAAUCCAUGUUUGUAAGCUUCUCCAUAGUCUUCCAUAAUUUUUAAGUGUAAAGUCCUGAAAUAAAAGGAUUGAAAAAUCACUGCAUUCAUACAGCUAUUUGAUCUGUAAUGAAGGAGCAAAAUAUACAGUGGAAGAAAGAUAGCCUCUUUAAUAAAUGACGCUGAAGACAUGAAGAAGACUGAGUCUAGACCCAUAUAGCUCACCAUGUACUAACUAAAAUCAAAAUGUAUCAAAGAUCUAAAUGUUAAAACAGAAACAAUCUACUGGAAGACAAAAUAGGUACAAUUGCUGAAGACAUGGGUGUAGGCAAGAACUUUAUGAACAGAACCCCAAUGGCACAAGAAAUAAUACUGAGAAUCAAGUGGAAUCAUAUCAAAUUAAAAGGCUUCUGCAUAGCAAAGGAAAAAACCAACAGAGUAAUGAGACAGUCUACAGGGUGGGAAAAAAAUAUUUGCAAGCUAUUCCUCAGAGGACUAACAUCAAGAAUACGUAAAGAAUUUUAAAAAACAGACCCCUCCCCAAAUAAAAGACCCAAUCAAAAAAUGGGCAACUGGGAGACAGCAGCCUGCUGUGCGCCAAGCCCUGGAGAUAGCUUUCACAAGUCACGUGACCUGCUAUCACCAUUGCCCUGGGACUUUGCUGGUUUUACUCCUAAAAGUCUUGCAUCCCAGGAGUGCCUCUAGUCUUGGGUGAUGGGUUACCCUAUUACCAAACCUAAGCUUUAUUGAAUGCCUCUAAAUCAAGAAUUUGGUUUCUCUAUUGCAAAGGUGAGCUAGACUCAAUCAUUUAGUCUCUUUGACAAGAAAAUCUGAGGCUAAAAAAUGAGCAGAUCAUAACAAACAUUAGGGAUACGCACCGAGAUGCUGAGUGAGAGAAGACAGGCUUGGGGGGUGGGGGGGAGGCAACCAAAAUGAACACAUACUUCUCAGCAAAUGGCCAAUAAAUACAUGAAAAAUGUUUAUCAUUGCUGACCAUCAGAGAAAUGCAAAUUAAAAAUACACUGAGAUAUCAUCUUACCCCAGAAAGAAUAACUAUCAUCAAAAAAUCUAGUAACAAAUCCUGGUGAGGCUUGGGGGGGGGGCACUCCACUACAUUGUUGGUGGGAAUGUAAACUACUACAACCACCGUGGAAAUCAGUGUGAAGAUUCUUCAAAAAACUAAAAACAGAAAUUGCAUUUGACCCAGCUAUCAUCCUUCUAGGUAUCUUCCCGAAGCAGUUAAAAUCAUUGUAAUAAAGGGAUACAUGCAUACCCUUGUGUAUAGUAGCACAAUUUGUAAUAGCUAGAUUUUUGAAACAGCAUGUAUGUUCAUCAACAAAAGAAUGGCUAAGGAAAAUGUAGUAUUCAUAUACAAUGGAGUACUAAGCUGCCAUAAAGAGAUAAAGUUGAGGCAUCCCUGGGUAAACAGAUGCUACUUGAGAACAUAAUGUUAAGUGACAUAAAGACAUUCAAGCUCAAAUAUGGUGUAGUUUUUCUUAUAUGAGAAACACAAAAGAACCAAAUAGAAGACAGAUAAAUAGGAAAUAGGGCAAGUUCAAAUACCUCUCCAAACUACAAAUUCUGUUGUUUUAAAAAUACUUCAAUAUAUAUGCUAAUUGGUUUCAUUUAUACUACUAGUUUAUCUUAGUUUGGUGAAAACUUUGUGUUAUCUGUUUGUCCUUUUUAAUUUUUUGUUUUUUUGUUUUUUUGAAACAAGGUCUCACUAUGUAGUUCAGGCUGGCCUCAAACUCCCAGUGAUCCUCCUGGGUGCUGGGAUUAUAGGUGUGCACCACCACACUGGGCCAAACGUUUCUUUUUUUUUUUUUGGUAACAGUCUAUUUGGUUCAUGUCUUGUGUCUUAACUACUCUAAAGAUAAUAAUACCUAAUGUAAAAAUUGUUAUUCUCUUGUUAUUUAAUGAUAAAAUUUUGUUCUAUUUUUCAUAAAAUAAAAAUUUUAAAAUCACUUCAUUAUAUCAU